CCACAUGUUCAACACAGAUUCAACAUUACAUGCGACCAGAUAUCAAGAAAUUCUAAAGAUUUGAACAUAAGGUAAGUAAAAUCAUUUCAUCCAUAUGUUAAGAAAUUUAAGAUUAAAACAUUAAAGUAAAGAUUAUAACGUAACUUCUGAACAAUAAUUUAUGUAUGAAACAAUAAUUUAUGUAAAAUCCAUUAUAAGUAUGAAACAAAUAAUUAUGUAAAUGAUUUUAAACCAAUUCCUUUUACCUCUGAACAAAGUAUCAUGACAGAACUUGAUAAUGAUACAAACUGGUUCUUUUGGUUUUGUACUAAGAUAAUCAUUCAACUGAUCUGCAUAUUUUCCCCACAAUGAGCAUGAAAGAGUUUUUUGCCUGUAUACAUGGAAAAGAAACAUAAAUAUUCGAUUUUCAUAAAAAAUAUGCAAUUAAUGUUUGAAAAAUAAUUACUCCUGAUCUUCAAUGACGAUUUCCAUCAAUUUUGUUGGUUUUCCAUUUGUUUCCUUCAAUUGUGGCCUAUAACUUGAUACAAUGAUUCCCAUAAUAUCUAUAAAGAGAUAAAAAAAAAUAUUAGUUAUAGUAUUGAUUCAAACUUGUGUAAAAAAUUCGAAAUAAAUUACUUACCAAAUAACUCAUCAUUUGGAAAAUCCUUGAUGGAAUACACAUCUUCAAAGCUUUUCAGAUUGUACAUCUUGCAUGGAAAUGAAUCAUCUUCCAAUUGUGUGAUGCACGUAUUUUUGAAGAGUAUUAUCUUGAAUUUGUUUUUCGUGGUUUUGAAUUUAUUGCUGUCAUGGACAACAAUAAAGUUCAUCAAUGCAUACACAUUUCCUUGCUGAAAUUUGGGCUUCAUUGUUGAUAGUGCACUUUGUGGAAUUGUUGCAUGGAUUCGUAUUAUCCUACAAAAAAGAUAAAUAUAUAUAUCAAUACAAAUCUAUAUUAAAUUUAAAAUUUGACAAAAAGAGUUAAGAGUAGAUACUACCUCUUUGUCAUGGAAAACGCAUUCGUGGCUGUAAACUUCAUCGUCGUUGUUAUAAUAUGGGACGUAUAGCUGGAAUCAGCCUUAGUGUAAUGCUAUCUUACUCUUUUCCAGCUCCAAUUCCUCGAUCAAACCAAAAAGAGGAGGCAUUUUCGAAGUUUCAAGAGGCGUGGAGAAAGAAUGUUGCUGAUUCUGUGUUAAGAAAUGAAUGUGGUGCAAAGUGAAUGUAAAAUGAAUAAUAUAAUUUAUAAUUAAUGUGUGUAACUGCUGCUGAGACGUGUAAUCUGAUUUGCUAAAACUGCUGCUGAGACGUGUAAUCUGAUUUGCCAAUUAUUUUAAUUUAAUGGCUGUAAAUUGGGAUAUUUGUGGGUUAGUGGAGACAUUUUGUAUAAAUUAAAUUGAAUCAAUCUGAAUGUUAGUGGGUGAAGUUUGAAGUUAGUGGAGACAUUUUGUACAAAUUAAAUUGAAUAAAUCCGAAUGUUAGUGGGUGAAGUCUGUAUGGGUGAAGAAACAGACGUUAAAAUAGAGAAUAUUCUGUUAAAAAAUGA
rnacentral:lncRNA from 1 species